rnacentral:rRNA from 1 species
GACGAACGCUGGCGGCGUGCUUAACACAUGCAAGUCGUACGGUAAGGCCCUUUCGGGGUUACACGAGUGGCGAACGGGUGAGUAACACGUGCGUAACCUGCCCACAACUUUGGGAUAACGCUAGGAAACUGGUGCUAAUACUGGCUAUGUGCUCCUGCUGCAUGGUGGGGGUUGGAAAGCUCCGGCGGUUGUGGAUGGACUCGCGGCCUAUCAGCUUGUUGGUGGGGUAGUGGCCUACCAAGGCGGCGACGGGUAGCCGGCCUGAGAGGGUGACCGGCCACAUUGGGACUGAGAUACGGCCCAGACUCCUACGGGAGGCAGAGGUGGGGAAUAAUGCACAAUGGGCGCAAGCCUGAUGCAGCAACGCCGCGUGCGGGAUGACGGCCUUCGGGUUGUAAACCGCUUUCAGCAGGGACGAAGCUUUUUGUGACGGUAACUGCAGAAGAAGCACCGGCUAACUACGUG